UUUCAAAGAAAACGUUAAAAUACGAUAUAAGGCGAAUUCAGUUCCGUCAUUUUGCGCAGCAUAAACAAGUACAGCUCAACAACGUUUUGUUAGAGGAGAAAUCAUCCAGCCAUGUUUUCGCAAUCAGCCUGUGUACAAGUUCACAUAAAAACAAAUGAGCUGCACACCGCUGUUGUCGAGAAAGUAAUUCUUGCCAUGAUAUCGUCCUGCAGAACGGACAACAAUCAGGCCCUCCAUAAGCUGCUACACGUUGCGGUCUGCGAAGAGAAUUAUAAUGUUUGACACACCACCGUCACGAACAUAGGGUUCUGUAUCACUCGCCGGUAUAGUGUAAAUUAGAUAUAGGCAAGUAGAGGAAUUAGUGAGCUGCCGCAUUAUUGAUCGCUUUAUUCCUAAAAAAUAUGAUUCGCCCGCUCGAAUAAAAACAAUUAAAAUAUCGUA